UGUCGUCAGCUCGUGCCGUGAGGUGUUGGGUUAAGUCCCGCAACGAGCGCAACCCCUGUCGCUAGUUGUACUUCUCUAGCGAGACUGCUGCGAACAACGCAGAGGAAGGCGGGGACGACGUCAAGUCAGCGUGGCUCUUACGCCCAGGGCGACACACACGCUACAAUGGCCGGCACAGCGGGUUGCCACGUCGUGAGACGGCGCUAAUCUCUCAAAGCCGGUCCCAGUUCGGAUUGCAGGCUGAAAUUCGCCUGCAUGAAGUCGGAGUUGCUAGUAAACGCAGGUCAGCCAUACUGCGUUGAAUACGUUCUCGGGCCUUGUACACACCGCCCGUCACAUCAUGGGAGUGGGCAACACCUGAAGUCGUUGCGCCAACCGCAAGGGGGCAGGCGCCGAAGGUGGGGCUCGCGACUGGGAUGAAGUCGUAACAAGGUAGCCGUAGCGGAAGCUGCGGCUGGAUCACCUCCUUU
rnacentral:rRNA from 1 species